rnacentral:rRNA from 1 species
CUACGGGACGCUGCAGUGAGGAAUAUUGGUCAAUGGUCGCAAGACUGAACCAGCCAUGCCGCGUGCAGGAAGACGGUCCUAUGGAUUGUAAACUGCUUUUAUACAGGAAGAAACCCUCCCACGUGUGGGAGCUUGACGGUACUGUAGGAAUAAGGAUCGGCUAACUCCAUGCCAGCAGCCGCGGUAAUACGGAGGAUCCAAGCGUUAUCCGGAAUCAUUGGGUUUAAAGGGUCCGUAGGCGGCCUUAUAAGUCAGUGGUGAAAGCCCAUCGCUCAACGAUGGAACUGCCAUUGUUACUGUAAGGCUUGAAUUUUUGUGAAGUAACUAGAAUACGUAGUGUAGCGGUGAAAUGCUUAGAUAUUACAUGGAAUACCAAUUGCGAAGGCAGGUUACUAACAAACGAUUGACGCUGAUGGACGAAAGCGUGGGGAGCGAGCAGGAUUAGAUACCCCCGUAGUC